rnacentral:rRNA from 1 species
AUUGAACGCUGGCGGCAGGCCUAACACAUGCAAGUCGAACGAGUGGCGGACGGGUGAGUGGUGUCUGAGAAACUGCCUGAUGGAGGGGGAUAACUGCUGUAAACGGUGGCUACUAGCGCAUACCAUGGGAUGUGCCCAGAUGGGAGUAGCUAGUAGGUGGGGUAAAGGCUCACCUAGGCGACGAUCCCUAGCUGGUCUGAGAGGAUGACCAGCCACACUGGAACUGAGACACGGUCCAGACUCCUACGGGAGGCAGCAGUGGGGAAUAUUGCACAAUGGGCGCAAGCCUGAUGCAGCCAUGCCGCGUGUAUGAAGAAGGCCUUCGGGUUGUAAAGUACUUUCAGCGGGGAGGCGUUACCCGCAGAAGAAGCACCGGCUAACUCCGUGCCAGCCGCCGCGGUAAUUC